rnacentral:misc_RNA from 1 species
GAAAUGCGAUAAGUAGUGUGAAUUGCAGAAUUCAGUGAAUCAUCGAAUCUUUGAACGCACAUUGCGCCCUUUGGUAUUCCAAAGGGCAUGCCUGUUCGAGCGUCAUUUGUACCCUCAAGCUUUGCUUGGUGUUGGGCGUCUUGUCUCUAGCUUUGCUGGAGACUCGCCUUAAAGUAAUUGGCAGCCGGCCUACUGGUUUCGGAGCGCGGCACAAGUCGCACUCUCUAUCAGCAAAGGUCUAGCAUCCAUUAAGCCUUUUUUCAACUUUUGACCUCGGAUCAGGUAGGGAUACCCGCUGAACUUAAGC